rnacentral:rRNA from 1 species
AUUGAACGCUAGCGGGAUGCUUUACACAUGCAAGUCGAACGAGUGGCGGACGGGUGAGUAAUAUCUCGGAACGUGCCCAGUAGCGGGGGAUAACUACUCGAAACAGUAGCUAAUACCGCAUACCAUCGGAUCUGCCCAUAUCGGAUUAGCUAUUUGGUGGGGUAAAGGCUCACCAAGGCAACGAUCCGUAGCUGGUCUGAGAGGACGACCAGCCACACUGGGACUGAGACACUGUCCAGAAUCCUACGGGAGGAAGCAGUGGGGAAUUUUGGACAAUGGGUGAAACCCUGAUCCAGCCAUCCCGCGUGUAUGAGAAGGCCUUCGGGUUGUAAAGUACUUUUGGCAGAGAAGCGUUAUCUGCAGAAUAAGCACCGGCUAACUACGUGCCAGCAGCCGCGGUAAUUC